rnacentral:rRNA from 1 species
UUAAGCGACUAAGCGUACACGGUGGAUGCCCUGGCAGUCAGAGGCGAUGAAGGACGUGCUAAUCUGCGAUAAGCGUCGGUAAGGUGAUAUGAACCGUUAUAACCGGCGAUUUCCGAAUGGGGAAACCCAGUGUGUUUCGACACACUAUCAUUAACUGAAUCCAUAGGUUAAUGAGGCGAACCGGGGGAACUGAAACAUCUAAGUACCCCGAGGAAAAGAAAUCAACCGAGAUUCCCCCAGUAGCGGCGAGCGAACGGGGAGCAGCCCAGAGCCUGAAUCAGUGUGUGUGUUAGUGGAAGCGUCUGGAAAGGCGCGCGAUACAGGGUGACAGCCCCGUACACAAAAAUGCACAUGCUGUGAGCUCGAUGAGUAGGGCGGGACACGUGGUAUCCUGUCUGAAUAUGGGGGGACCAUCCUCCAAGGCUAAAUACUCCUGACUGACCGAUAGUGAACCAGUACCGUGAGGGAAAGGCGAAAAGAACCCCGGCGAGGGGAGUGAAAAAGAACCUGAAACCGUGUACGUACAAGCAGUGGGAGCACGCUUCGGCGUGUGACUGCGUACCUUUUGUAUAAUGGGUCAGCGACUUAUAUUCUGUAGCAAGGUUAACCGAAUAGGGGAGCCGAAGGGAAACCGAGUCUUAACUGGGCGUUAAGUUGCAGGGUAUAGACCCGAAACCCGGUGAUCUAGCCAUGGGCAGGUUGAAGGUUGGGUAACACUAACUGGAGGACCGAACCGACUAAUGUUGAAAAAUUAGCGGAUGACUUGUGGCUGGGGGUGAAAGGCCAAUCAAACCGGGAGAUAGCUGGUUCUCCCCGAAAGCUAUUUAGGUAGCGCCUCGUGAAUUCAUCUCCGGGGGUAGAGCACUGUUUCGGCAAGGGGGUCAUCCCGACUUACCAACCCGAUGCAAACUGCGAAUACCGGAGAAUGUUAUCACGGGAGACACACGGCGGGUGCUAACGUCCGUCGUGAAGAGGGAAACAACCCAGACCGCCAGCUAAGGUCCCAAAGUCAUGGUUAAGUGGGAAACGAUGUGGGAAGGCCCAGACAGCCAGGAUGUUGGCUUAGAAGCAGCCAUCAUUUAAAGAAAGCGUAAUAGCUCACUGGUCGAGUCGGCCUGCGCGGAAGAUGUAACGGGGCUAAACCAUGCACCGAAGCUGCGGCAGCGACGCUGAUGCGUUGUUGGGUAGGGGAGCGUUCUGUAAGCCUGCGAAGGUGUGCUGUGAGGCAUGCUGGAGGUAUCAGAAGUGCGAAUGCUGACAUAAGUAACGAUAAAGCGGGUGAAAAGCCCGCUCGCCGGAAGACCAAGGGUUCCUGUCCAACGUUAAUCGGGGCAGGGUGAGUCGACCCCUAAGGCGAGGCCGAAAGGCGUAGUCGAUGGGAAACAGGUUAAUAUUCCUGUACUUGGUGUUACUGCGAAGGGGGGACGGAGAAGGCUAUGUUGGCCGGGCGACGGUUGUCCCGGUUUAAGCGUGUAGGCUGGUUUUCCAGGCAAAUCCGGAAAAUCAAGGCUGAGGCGUGAUGACGAGGCACUACGGUGCUGAAGCAACAAAUGCCCUGCUUCCAGGAAAAGCCUCUAAGCAUCAGGUAACAUCAAAUCGUACCCCAAACCGACACAGGUGGUCAGGUAGAGAAUACCAAGGCGCUUGAGAGAACUCGGGUGAAGGAACUAGGCAAAAUGGUGCCGUAACUUCGGGAGAAGGCACGCUGAUAUGUAGGUGAGGUCCCUCGCGGAUGGAGCUGAAAUCAGUCGAAGAUACCAGCUGGCUGCAACUGUUUAUUAAAAACACAGCACUGUGCAAACACGAAAGUGGACGUAUACGGUGUGACGCCUGCCCGGUGCCGGAAGGUUAAUUGAUGGGGUCAGCGCAAGCGAAGCUCUUGAUCGAAGCCCCGGUAAACGGCGGCCGUAACUAUAACGGUCCUAAGGUAGCGAAAUUCCUUGUCGGGUAAGUUCCGACCUGCACGAAUGGCGUAAUGAUGGCCAGGCUGUCUCCACCCGAGACUCAGUGAAAUUGAACUCGCUGUGAAGAUGCAGUGUACCCGCGGCAAGACGGAAAGACCCCGUGAACCUUUACUAUAGCUUGACACUGAACAUUGAGCCUUGAUGUGUAGGAUAGGUGGGAGGCUUUGAAGUGUGGACGCCAGUCUGCAUGGAGCCGACCUUGAAAUACCACCCUUUAAUGUUUGAUGUUCUAACGUUGACCCGUAAUCCGGGUUGCGGACAGUGUCUGGUGGGUAGUUUGACUGGGGCGGUCUCCUCCUAAAGAGUAACGGAGGAGCACGAAGGUUGGCUAAUCCUGGUCGGACAUCAGGAGGUUAGUGCAAUGGCAUAAGCCAGCUUGACUGCGAGCGUGACGGCGCGAGCAGGUGCGAAAGCAGGUCAUAGUGAUCCGGUGGUUCUGAAUGGAAGGGCCAUCGCUCAACGGAUAAAAGGUACUCCGGGGAUAACAGGCUGAUACCGCCCAAGAGUUCAUAUCGACGGCGGUGUUUGGCACCUCGAUGUCGGCUCAUCACAUCCUGGGGCUGAAGUAGGUCCCAAGGGUAUGGCUGUUCGCCAUUUAAAGUGGUACGCGAGCUGGGUUUAGAACGUCGUGAGACAGUUCGGUCCCUAUCUGCCGUGGGCGCUGGAGAACUGAGGGGGGCUGCUCCUAGUACGAGAGGACCGGAGUGGACGCAUCACUGGUGUUCGGGUUGUCAUGCCAAUGGCACUGCCCGGUAGCUAAAUGCGGAAGAGAUAAGUGCUGAAAGCAUCUAAGCACGAAACUUGCCCCGAGAUGAGUUCUC